rnacentral:lncRNA from 1 species
GCAUAUUGGUCGAAUUUUAGAUGUUUCAAUGACGAGUGCCAUCGGAAAUGGUUCGUUGUUUUAUCGUACUCCGUCAAAAUUUGAUGGUGCUGACACCUCGUCGGAAAAGUUAGGAGUUCUAAACCUACGGGCAUGUAAUUUUUGCAAAGCUAAGUUAUUGGGCUUACGUCAAAAUUUGAUGGCGCUGACACCUCGUCGGAAAAGUUAGGAGUUCUAAACCUACGGGCAUGUAAUUUUUGCAAAGCUAAGUUAUUGGGCUUACCGCCCUUAAGGGCAAUGGAGGCUUCUAGAACGUCUCAUAUCAAUGGAAAAGCCGAAAAUGUUCAUCAGCCGGGAUACAAUUCAAACGAUC